AACGCUGGCGGCGCGCUUAACACAUGCAAGUCGAGCGAGAAAGGGAGCAAUCCUGAGUAAAGCGGCGCACGGGUGAGUAACACGUGGGUCAUAUACCUGUUAGUGGGGAAUAACCCUGGGAAACCGGGGCUAAUACCGCAUAAGUCCGAGAGGAGAAAGCCGAAAGGCGCUGACAGAGUAGCCCGCGGUCGAUUAGCUAGUUGGCAGGGUAAUGGCCUACCAAGGCGACGAUCGAUAGCCGGCCUGAGAGGGCACACGGCCACACUGGCACUGAAACACGGGCCAGACUCCUACGGGAGGCAGCAGUGGGGAAUCUUGCACAAUGGGGGAAACCCUGAUGCAGCGACGCCGCGUGAGCGAUGAAGCCCUUCGGGGUGUAAAGCUCUUUCGGCAGGGACGAUAAUGACGGUACCUGCAGAAGAAGCUGCGGC
rnacentral:rRNA from 1 species